CAAUGAAACACCCACACAGUGGCUUCACCGGUUAAUGGAGACGCAUACCAGGGAGAGUGAAGAAUACAAAAUCAGUCUAUUGGACCUGUUCAAGUCUUUGGAAUGCCACACCCUUUUUAUACCAGCUUUCAAGCGACCCCUUUUAACGGACUUGUCACUGGCAUCAGAAGAAGAUCUCACCGAGGAGUACAUUGAGGAGCGAAAUGCACUCACAAAGAAAUUGCGUGAGGUGUUGGU